UCACCAAGCGAAGAGGUAUCACCCUUAA
rnacentral:sRNA from 1 species